CGUGGGGCUCCAGAUCUGUAAGCGUCUAGAGCCCCAGAGCUAGAGGUGUGUCAUCAGGGGCUCAGCAAAGUUCUCAGAUAAGAAGGUGGCCCUUGUAAGAAAAGUGUAGCUAUUUACAGCGUUAUCUUCUUAUGCAACAAGCAUAUAUAGAGAACUUCAUAGUGAAGAAACUGAGGCCCAAGAAGGAGGUUAAGGAUCUUGCUCAGGGCCACAUAGCUACUAAGUAGCAAAGCCAAGAUUCAACCUUUGUUGGUGUGAUUUUCAAGGCCAGUGCUCUUAACUACUGACCUAGUGAAUGACGUGGACUAUGUCAGGUUUGGAGGAUUACAGGAAUCAGACACCUACCCACAGGGAGUUCACAGGCUGGUGAAAAGACGGACUUUGAGCAGGCCACUGAAUGCAGUGUGAAGAAUGAAUUCUUGGAUCAAAUGGGAAGCUGGACCAAAGAUCUUUGACAACUCUUCAAACAAGAUUUCAAACCUUUUACCUGAAGGAAAAGGUAGAAAACUAGUUGGUCUCGUUUGUGCUCACCCUGCCCCUUCCCAAUAACUCAGUCUCAGCAGAAAUUCUAUUGUUCUUAAGUUCCAUUCCAGGCACCACCUUCACAAGACCUGUUUCAUUCUGUUAAUGCAUGUCAUGUGGCCUUGUACUUUUUUGUGUGUAUAAAUCAACUAACCCUUUAGUAGAGGGCAAACUCCUUGAGAAUGGGCGCUGUUUAACUGAUCUAUCUUCCUUAGAAGCAUUUUAUGCCUAGAAUGUGCUCAAUAAACAUUUGUACAACUGCAAUGAAUAGUUAAGAAAGGGUGACAUCAGCCGGAACUAAAUUAGAGAAAAAAGCUUGGUCUUUCUUCCCAUUUCUCUUUAAAAGCUUAUUUCUAGUUGUUCCUAUAAAUACACAUAACAUGAAACAUACCUUCUUAACCACUGUUACGUGUAUACUCCUGUAGUGUUAAGUAUCUUCACACGGGUGUGCACCAGAUCUCCAGGACUAUUUUAUACCCACCAAACAAGUCUCCAUUCUUCCCUCCCCUGGUUCCCGGCAACCAUCAUUCUACUUCAUUGUUUCUAUAAGCUUGACUACUUAAGAUACCGUAUGUAAGUAAAAUCAUAGAACAUUUGUCUUUUGGUGACUGGUUUAUGUAUCACUGAGCAUAAUGUCCUCGAGAUUC